CCUACGUGAGGCAGCAGUGGGGGAUAUUGCACAAUGGGGGAAACCCUGAUGCAGCGACGCCGCGUGUGGGAAGACGGUCCUCUGGAUUGUAAACCACUGUCCCAGGGACGAAGAUGACGGUACCUGGGGAGGAAGCUCCGGCUAACUACGUGCCAGCAGCCGCGGUAAUACGUAGGGAGCGAGCGUUGUCCGGAAUUACUGGGUUUAAAGGGAGCGUAGGCGGGGUUGCAAGUUGGGGGUCAAAACUACCGGCUCAACUGGUAGUCGCACUCAAAACUGCAGCUCUUGAGUGAAGUAGAGGCAGGCGGAAUUCCGAGUGUAGCGGUGAAAUGCGUAGAUAUUAGGAGGAACACCAGUGGCGAAGGCGGCCUGCUGGGCUUUUACUGACGCUGAGGCUCGAAAGUGUGGGGAGCAAACAGGAUUAGAUACCCCAGUAGUC
rnacentral:rRNA from 1 species